rnacentral:lncRNA from 1 species
GAAAAAAAAAACAAAACCUGAAAUCUGAGGAGUGAUUUGUCAAGAAGAAGGGAUAUACGUUUUCAGAUGGAACCUUCUGAAGAGGAGGAGUGUGUGUGUAUGUGUAAAUACAAGUGUGAACAUGAAGAAAGGAUAAUAAAGUGAAGAGUGGAAAUACACAUAUGUCUAAUGUGUAUACACAUAAAUACAUGGAUACACAUGUCUAAAUGGCCUUCAGUUUUGAGCUGUCUUUCCUUACAUACAGCAAUAAAAAUUUGAUUUUGUGAGAACUUUAUUCUUCCUAACCUUGAAUUUUCUACAGGUA